GUCAACCUGCGAAAACAGUUUUAUUUUGACCUGGACAGACAGACGCCACGGAUGCUGAUCUUGUUGAGACAGAAGGCAGCACGAACCGGAAGGCUCUAUGCGACAUUCUGCACCUCUAUGAUAAACAGCAAGAACAGACUGCUGAUGUUAAUGGUACUCCUGUCCUGUACUGGCUUCCCAUAUACAAACGUGAGGAGGACCCACAGUUCUUCAAAGUUUGGAAUCUCAUCUGUGCUCCUGUACCUGACCGUGGACCUCGCCUCUGACUCGUCUGGGGCCCACAGCCGUCCCCUAUUUCAUCUGGAUGACGCCAAUCUGCUGGACUUUAAAAAUGCAGUUGUUGAACUAGAAAAUGUAAUUCUUUAAGAGUUCUGGAACAUCGCCUGUCCGUCCUGGGGGAGGAGUCUUUUUUUAUUUAUUUUUUUAAAGGAGUUUUCCUUACUGUGUAAGAGGGAUCUAAUGGCAGGGAUGCCCAGUUUGGUUUAGUCUGUUUAGUUUAGUCAAUACCUAAUGUAUUAUGAUUUCAUGUUCUUGUACAAUUGCCGGUAUGAAGCCCAUGGAGACGACUUUUGUUGUGACAUAGGACUAUAUAAAUAAAAUUGAACUGAAUCUUUGCUCUUAAGUUGCAUUGGCAAGAAGGUGACAUUCUUUCCAGCAGGUUGUGUCAUUGUUAUGGAGACGUUCUGAGCUGUAGUUGAAAAACUGCCCCAUAACAGAGACACAACCUGGUGGAGAGUAACGAGUGCUAACUGUGAGAGCAUGAAAUCAGGAAAGAGUUCCAGAGGGUGAAUACUAGGUAAGCAGCUGGGUCGGAUGGAAUUCCUGGACGUGUCCUGAAAGGUACUGACCAUCCAGCACAAGCUGAGAGUUAUGUUGGUGAAACUGGUUAGGUGGAGGGAGGGGUGGGGUUUGG